rnacentral:rRNA from 1 species
GACGAACGCUGGCGGCGUGCUUAACACAUGCAAGUCGAACGGAAAGGCCCUGCUUUUGUGGGGUGCUCGAGUGGCGAACGGGUGAGUAACACGUGAGUAACCUGCCCUUGACUUUGGGAUAACUUCAGGAAACUGGGGCUAAUACCGGAUAGGAGCUCCUGCUGCAUGGUGGGGGUUGGAAAGUUUCGGCGGUUGGGGAUGGACUCGCGGCUUAUCAGCUUGUUGGUGGGGUAGUGGCUUACCAAGGCUUUGACGGGUAGCCGGCCUGGGAGGGUGGACGGGCCACAUGGGACUGAGAUACGGCCCAGACUCCUACGGGAGGCAGCAGUGGGGAAUAUUGCACAAUGGGCGGAAGCCUGAUGCAGCAACGCCGCGUGCGGGAUGACGGCCUUCGGGUUGUAAACCGCUUUCGCCUGUGACGAAGCGUGAGUGACGGUAAUGGGUAAAGAAGCACCGGCUAACUACGUG